GAUCAUGGCUCAGGAUGAACGCUGGCGGCGUGCUUAACACAUGCAAGUCGAACGAAGCACUCUAUUUGACUUUCUUCGGAAAUGAAGAUUUUGUGACUGAGUGGCGGACGGGUGAGUAACGCGUGGGUAACCUGCCUCAUACAGGGGGAUAACAGUUGGAAACGACUGCUAAUACCGCAUAAGCGCACAGGAUUGCAUGAUCCGGUGUGAAAAACUCCGGUGGU
rnacentral:rRNA from 1 species